GAUUGAGUUAAUAAAGCGCAGUUUAGAUCCCGCACCACAAGAGGACACUCCUCCCACAGUAAUUGUUCAAAUUACACAGCUCGUUUUCAAGGAACUCUCGUCCUGGUGUUUUCUACUGACAAGGCUGAAGAAAUCCCGCUAAGACAGAAGCACCGAGAGACUUGCAGGAGAUACAGUUUGAACAGUUUUCCUCUGUCCUUGUCUAAUACCGAAUUACACAGGUACCACACUGUAUUCUUGUUUCCUAAAGCUAUAUUUCAUAAUGCAGAAGUAACCUGUGACUUCCAUCAUUUUCUGAACUUGCAGGAAUCCCAGAUUUCCUUAAAGAUGUAUGACUCCUGCUUACCACAUACACCUUAUUAUGGCAGGCUAAUUCUUUCUUGUUCUUUUUCAUAGGUCCCUUAAAUAGCCCUCAAAUAACAGCCAACAAUCACAGAUCUGGGAUCAUUGUGAAGGAGAGGAAAUAUCAGAUAACCCAGCACCAGAGUGGGAAGCCCUGAAGAACAUUCUGCUGUGUAACAGGGACGGCAUUUCAGAACCGCUCGUUCCUUGUCAGCCUGGGGCAGCUUCAGAAAUUUGGGAAUCUGGAGCUCUCUUGAGGCAUUGCUCAGGAAGUAAUUUUCAGAUAUGCUCAGCUUCAGAGUUUCAACCUGGAAGUAUGAAUGGCUCUAGGACUGUAGAGUGUCUGUGACAGUUCUGUAUUAUUAGCAUUCUGAACUGAAAUAAGGGCCUGGAUUUGCCACGUGUUGUAAAACUUGCAAUUACCACAUGACUGAGCUUACAAGUGCAGGAGUCAAGAAAAAAGGAAGGGAACAGAAAGAGGUAUUGCUUCUUACAGGGAGAAGCUGAAAGACAGAAAGAGUGCUUGUAAAAUGACAAAGCAGAAGACAUGGCUCCAUCCUGAUUUCAGGCUUCAGAAGAAAGGGUCCCAUUGGUGACUCCACCCAUAGGCAGAACUCCAUCUCUGCUAUGGUCUCAGCACCUAAAUGGAACGGACACCCUGGCUGUGGAGUGUUGCUGCAGCAAGGCAGCUCUUCAGAAAUUACCGGAGACAAACAGGUGAUUUUGCAUCUUCCAGAUAGGACAGAGGGAGGAAAUACAGUUCCUGGUCCUCAGAUUUUAUUAUAAAAGAAAUGAGAAAUUCCCACCCACCAUGUUCGCAGGGCAGUCUGAAGAUGUAUUUGGCCUUUUACCCUUUCCUUGGAAGUCAUUUGUGCUGUCACCCCUGGAGCAGGUCAUUUCAAUGCAUGGGUCAUCACCCUUCCCCCAGAAAUAGCAGUUCUCAGUGUUCCUAGAAGGCAUCAUUUGGGGAUUUCACAAAAACUAACUGGCUGGAUUCUUUCAAGAUGCAGGAGGCAGAUGCCCUGGAGAUUGAAUGUAAUAAAUCUGUCCUUAGGUGUGACUGAAUGCAUCUUCUUGACAGCUUGAGACCCGCUGCUGAAGUAACUUCAAAAUACUUUAUUUCCUAAGGGAGACUCUAUUCACACUAAUUCACAAAAUUUUCUAGGUUAGGAAGAAAGACUCUGGUUGACAAAGGAGUCAGUGGCUGCUCAGCCUACUCUCCUAGACUACUCUCCUCAGGCAUGAAUUAAGGUAGUAGAAUAUAUACCUGACAGCUGAGAGUAUAUCAGAGAAAAGCUAUUAUCUUCCAUUAAAAACAAAAAGGCUGCAUUUUACUUGGUUGCUCUUUAUAUCCCCUGACUGAAGAAAAGAAGCCUCUAAUAAAACACUAUGUCACACUCAAAACUUAAUGCCACACUUCAUGGAAGAUAGACAUUGUGUUUUUCUUGUCCCCAUGACAUUUUGCCCUUAGACAAACAUGCAGCAAUGAGAUAGAGAAGACGUACAAGGCUAUGAGAAUAGCAGAAGCUGUAGCUUGAAGAAAUAUAAAGGAGGAAAGAGAGGGCAUUUGGCAAUGAGAAUAAUAAAAAGUUCCAGCUGGCAGAUAUUAAAACAUCCAGAUAUCCUGUUAGAAUCAGUAUGAAUUUAGAUGAUUCUGUAUGGGAGAAGUCAUGAGAGACUUGUGUGAGAAAGACUCAGAUGGCACAACUGGAAUGACUGUCAGUCAUGACUGGAGGAAAAGCUGAGUACAAAAAGAUCUUUUAUAGGGAAGAUGAAUUUACACCAUCAGGUGAAAGAUGGUUGCAUAAAAACAUGAUAUAAUUGCAUAGCUGGAAUAGAUUGCAUAGAGAGGAAUAGCUGCAUUUUAGGCUGGCAAGGAAAACAAAGGUGUCAGCUGACAAACAGCAAUAAUAACUGUGGUGGUUCACUAUAACCUUGAUGCCAACAGUUACUGGGCUGCACCAUCAAGUGGAAAAAAAACCAAACCCACAUAAUUUCAAUAUAUAAAAGAGACAGAAAGCAUAUGAGUAACUUUACACAUACACGUUGUCGCUCCAAAUUCAAAUGGAAUUACUCAUGUGAAUAAAACCAGUGAUAUGCAUGAGCCUGCACAAUGUAGCCUAGAUACCAGAGCAAAAGAAGGACCAACUCUUUUGUCAGAAGCCUGAAAAAAAUGUUUUGCAAGCUGUUUUUAUAUUCAGACUCCAAAUGACAGGGUCCAUUUUGGACUGGAGUCCAGCCUUCUGAAAAAUUCUCACUCCCAGCUGACAUGGUCCAGUAUUCAUCCCAAGCCAGAUGCACUUUGGCUUGCGUUUUGGAUGGUUGCAUUUCUUUGUUUGUCUUUUGCUCGAUAGAAGGCAUUUUGUGCUUUAUGCUCUUUGACUGUGGAAGAGGGAAUGAGCAAAAGGAGGGUGGUGAAUCUCCUAAACUGGAGGCAGGCAGCAAGAGCUCUGGCAAUUCCUACCACAGACCUC